rnacentral:misc_RNA from 1 species
CGCACAUUGCGCCCCUUGGUAUUCCGAGGGGCAUGCCUGUUCGAGCGUCAUUACAACCCUCAAGCAAUGCUUGGUAUUGGGCUCCGCUGCUGACGCAGCGUGCUCUAAAGCUAGUGGCGGCGCCCUUCGGCUCUGAGCGUAGUAAAUUUCCUCGCUACGGAGACCGGACGGGCGGUAGCCAUAACCCCCAAACUUUCUUAGUUUGACCUCGGAUCAGGUAGGGAUACCCGCUGAACUUAA